AACGCUGGCGGUGCGCCUUAUGCAUGCAAGUUGAGCGAAGCUUUUUGGUAGUUUACUACUAGAAAUGACUGAGCGGCGAACGGGUGAGUAACGCGUGAGCAAUCUACCUUAGUUACUGGGAUAGCCCGAGGAAACUCGGAUUAAUACCGGAUAUUCUUAUUUUUUCACAUGAAGUUUUAAGGAAAGGUCAGCCGAACUAAGAUGAGCUCGCGUUCUAUCAGCUAGUUGGUGGGGUAAAAGCCUACCAAGGCUACGACGGAUAGCUGGUCUGAGAGGACGAUCAGCCACACUGGGACUGAGACACGGCCCAGACUCCUACGGGAGGCUGCAGCAGGGAAUAUUGUGCAAUGAGCGAAAGCUUGACACAGCGACACCGCGUGUGGGAUGACGGUUCUAGGAUUGUAAACCACUUUCAGGAGGGAAGAAAAUGACGGUACCUCCACAAGAAGACCCGGCCAACUAUGUGCCAGCAGCCGCGGUAAUACAUAGGGGUCAAGCGUUGUCCGGAUUUAUUGGGCGUAAAGAGCUCGUAGGCGGUUCAACAAGUCGGUCGUAAAAGUUUAGGGCUCAACCCUAAAAUGUCGAUCGAUACUGUUGUGACUAGGAUACGGUAGAGGUGAAUGGAAUUCCGAGUGUAGCGGUGAAAUGCGUAGAUAUUCGGAGGAACACCAAUUGCGAAGGCAGUUCACUGGACCGUGAUCGACGCUGAGGAGCGAAAGCUAGGGGAGCAAACAGGAUUAGAUACCCUGGUAGUCCUAGCUGUAAACGAUGGAUACUAGAUGUAGGAACUGGAUUGACGGUUUCUGUAUCGUAGCUAACGCGUUAAGUAUCCCGCCUGGGGAGUACGGUCGCAAGACUAAAACUCAAAGGAAUUGAC
rnacentral:rRNA from 1 species